rnacentral:tRNA from 1 species
GCCGGGGUGGCCGAGCGGCCCAAGGCGCGGGACUGGAGAUCCCGUCCCCGUCAAGGGGGCGUGGGUUCAACGGCGGGAGAACCGCCGGACACAUCCCACCCCCGGCG